UCAGAUUGGAACAUUUGCAGAAGUAAACAGGGCAGGGAACUAUAUGAACUAAUAUGCCGGAUAGCUACACGCAAUGUGCUCAACGUCAUCAAUCUUGCGUCAUGGUCAUGUCACCAAUCGAUGGAUCAAGUCAAUGGAGUGAGGUUUACGGAUGAGCUUAAAAGAAUCUUUUCCAGGACAAUUUGAACUCAAAAUAGAUUGGAAGAGAGGCAUUGAAAGUUCAAUCAAGUCACAAUUGCAUUCGUUGAGGAUGUCCGCAUCCAGCCACAUCUGUUGACAGGCAACGACAUGGCAAUAUUUUGAAGUCAAAGAACGUGAUUCUCGAGUUGUGCAUGAUGCAAGCAAAACUUACGUCGACGGUAUAGGUCACCGUGACGUAUUAUGUAGACGUAGGCCCCCAAAUUACUUGGGGCAAAAAUUUUAAGGGCACCUUAAAUUAUGAAAAUUAUCAUAAAGAUAUUUUU